GACGAACGCUGGCGGCGUGCUUAACACAUGCAAGUCGAGCGGAAAGGCCCUUCGGGGUACUCGAGCGGCGAACGGGUGAGUAACACGUGAGUAACCUGCCCCUAGCACCGGGAUAGCUCCGGGAAACCGGGAUUAAUACCGGAUAUGACCACACUAGACAUCUGGCGUGGUGGAAAGGGUUUCCGGCUAGGGAUGGGCUCGCGGCCUAUCAGCUUGUUGGUGGGGUAACGGCCUACCAAGGCGACGACGGGUAGCCGGCCUGAGAGGGCGACCGGCC
rnacentral:rRNA from 1 species